AGAGUACUCCCUCCUUCCUAAAAUUAUUGUCUUAGUUUUGUCUAAAAAUUAAUGUAUCUAAAUACUAAAGCGUGACUAGAUACAUUUAUAUCUAGAUUAAUCUAAGACAAGAAUUUUGGAACGAAAGGAGUANAUA
rfam:Hordeum vulgare subsp. vulgare, WGS project CAJW01000000 data, contig: morex_contig_119856